AUUGAACGCUGGCGGCAGGCCUAACACAUGCAAGUCGAACGAGUGGCGGACGGGUGAGUAAUGUAUGGGAAACUGCCCGAUGGAGGGGGAUAACUACUGGAAACGGUAGCUAAUACCGCAUACAAUCGGAUGUGCCCAGAUGGGAUUAGCUUGUAGGUGAGGUAACGGCUCACCUAGGCGACGAUCGCUAGCUGGUCUGAGAGGAUGACCAGCGACACUGGAACGUAGGCACGGUCCAGACUCCUACGGGUGGCAGAAGUGGGGAAGAGUGCACAAUGGGCGCAAGCCUGAUGCAGCCAUGCCGCGGGUAUGAAGACGGCCUUCGUGUUGGAGAGUACUUCCAGCCGGGAGGCGUUACCAGCAGAAGAAGCACCGGCUAACUCCGUGCCAGCAGCCGCGGUAAGAC
rnacentral:rRNA from 1 species